CGAGGAUUUGCCACCAAUUAACCGUGUAACUAUAUUCCACCGCAAACCAAGUAAGACGGUGUCUGUCCCUUGCCUUGAAGGCCUGGGUCUGAGCCACUCACGAUGCUCCCUCCAGCUCAGCCUGCGGCAUGGGAUUUUCAUUAGAUGGCGUUCCUUGUAUUCAAGCAAGUCCUGCUGGGGUAUAAAUACCGCUCCUUUGUUUUUGGAGAAGUGAAGAAGGAGCAAAGAGAGAGAAGAAUGGGUGAACCCCAGUUAUACGUGACAAUUGUCAAGGGAAAGAAGAGAAGGGUCUAAGAGAUAAAGGGCGUGAGAAGAUGAAGUAAAUAGAAAAUAUCUCUGACAAACUUCACUUCCCUUCAUACCUUUGCUCCAGCAGAUUCUGACCGUCAUAAUGAUCAUUCCCCAAGUCAUCAAGCACAAUGCAACAUGAUAGAGCUGGUUAUACCUUAGCAAUAAUCAAAAUAAACCAAGCUAUGAAAAAUGGCUUAAUCUUUUCAUUUCAGAUUAACUUUAAAAAGCAUUCUAAAGAUAAUUCCUCCUGUUGAUCAAUUCACUUUUAUUCUCUUGUUUUUUGUUUUUUUGUUUUGUUUGUUGUUCUUGUUGUUGUUUUUGGAGACAGGGUCUCAC
rnacentral:lncRNA from 1 species